ensembl:lncRNA
AAGGGGCUCUCUUUUCUUCUCUGCUCCUGCUCCAGCAGCACGAUGUGAUCCACCAGCAAGGAGGGACGCCAAUAAGGCAUCUGAUCAGAUAAGUCUUAUAAAAUAUAUAAAUGUAUGAUAGUUAAGACUGAGCUAACAGAUGAGAAUCCUAGUCAUUGGCCAAGCAGCUUUGAACCUAAUACAAGUUUCUGUGUAUUCAUUUGGGCCCUAAGUCGGGCGGGCAGCUUGCAUAAAGCUCACACGUGGCGGUGGGGCUAAGGUGGCUUUUGGCAGAAAGAUUUAUCAUAACAGAGGAUACUAAGCCCCCUUUCCCCAUUGUUGUCACUAAGGAUAAUGUACAUCUAGUUAAGGCUACUUUUCUAUUGUUUAGGGUUGGGAUUGGAAGUAGGUGUUCAGGUUUGGUCACUUCUUUCAGAUGACUUUAGGGUUUAGUUAAAAUAGACAUAGUUAGGAUGUGUCAUAGCAGAUUAUUGUAUCUUCUUGUAUUUCACCCUUAUGAUUGUUAAUUAUGGAUACUUUACACAUUUAAGUUUUAAUCCUCUUUUAGACAAAAGGGGGAUUGUAGGGGACACCCUAACCACGCCUCCUUGGGGCUGGCUACAGGUGUACCUGGCCACGCCCCUAGGGCAUGGUCAGGGUGACAUGUGAGGGAGUUUUAAGAGUGAGAGGCAUGUGGGACCCCCUUCUUCCCUUCAUCUGCUUGCUCUACUUACCUCAUUCCUGCUGGCUGGCUAGGUUGCUCUGAGUAAGGAAGGCACUCCCUAAUAAAAUCCUAAUAUCUUUACCUGACUCCAUAUUGGUAAUUCACCCUUUACCUAGACCUGGAGAAGAAGAGACAGGCAGGUCUUUGGGACUUGCUGGCUAGCAAGUUUAGCUUGCUAGGUAAGCUCCAGAGUAAACAGAGACCUCGACUCAAAAAAAAAAAUGAAGAAAGGAAGGAAGAAAGAGAGAGAGAGAGAGAGAGAGAGAAAGAGAGAGACAGAGACAGAGACAGAGACAGAGAGAGAGAGGAGGGAAAUGAAAGGAAGGAAAGGUCCACUUGUACCAAAGGAAUGAUGAUACUCAAGAUUUUCCUUUGAUCUCCAUGGAUGAAUGCACACUUGUGGUGAACACAUACCCACACGCAUGAGUACACACACACACACACACACACACACACACACACACACACACACAAAUAAAAUUUGUGAACUAAGCUUUAUCUUAUUUUUAAAUACAUUAAUACAUUUAUUGGUAUUUUCAACUGUAAAGUGAAUACAUGUAUAGCAGAGUACAAUUAAAAAUAAAUUACUUUUAUUUUUCCUUCUGAGGAUAAAAGAACCAGAAGCUAUUCCGAUUAUUUUUUGAAGAAAUGUUUGGGGCAGAAGUUUUGCUCCCUUUCAAAUUAUGGAAACCUAUCAUGUUGUCUACUGGGACUCACUGUUAGGAGGAAGGAGCCUCCUAAGCGUGUACCUUUGUGGAAGUGGUCUGGAUUCUCCAAGAGCUGUGGGGAUGCCCUAGGCUGGAGAGGAAGGGUGUAUAUCAUCUGCGGGCAGAUGCUGAGAUAGGAAUGAAUUCUGACAAGACACAGCUGGAACCUUCAUCCAGUAGCAUAUGGAAGCAGAAGCAGACAUCCACAGCUAAACACUGAGCCAAACUCCUGGAAUCCAGUUGUAGAGAGGAAGGAAUGAUGAGCAAAGGGGUCAAGACCAUGCUGGGGAAACUCCACAGAAACAGCUGACCUGACCAAAUCCCACUUCCUGAUUCAGAUGAGCUCAACAGACCCUGCAUGUAGACACAUGCAGAGAAAUCAUCCAAUAUGUCUGCAAAACACAUCAGUGCUUGGCCGUCAACACUGAGGCAUUAGUUUGCAUAUCACCUUCUGGAACUAUGAAAGCCAGCAGGAAGGAAGUUCGGGGGAAUCGAACAGGGUCUGGUGCUUACAAGAAUGCAAGAUCUGGUUAAGAAAAAAGGAAAAUAAACACUGUCAACGAAAUUCAGUGGGCAGAAGAAAGGUCAGAACUUUGGUAAUCCAAAGCCGGAGCCUAUGUCUGUGACUGAGUAAAUACAGUGAUUCCUAACAAGGUGGAUUGUGUCAGGACAACUGGCAGAAUGUCCAAGCUUCUGUAUUCUGUUGUCACAGGUACAUCCUUCACACUGCCCUCCGUGCUCAUUCUGGCUUACUGAAGUUGGAAGAAGAACAAAGGAAAUUAUGCAGGCACUGUGGGUGAUAAUUAACAUAAGAAGGAUGCACAUUCUAAGAAGAGAAUUUGGUUUACAAACUCACAUAAAGAUGCAAAAUUCUUUCUAUGUGUCUUCCAAAAAUGACCAAAAGAAAAAAGUUAAAGAGAAAAUGAACAAACAAGCAAAAAACAAAACAAACAAACAUAAAACAGGAAAUAUGGAGUCUAUCUUAAGCAAAAAUAGAAAUGGUUGCCAAUGGUUACCAUGAGCUUGGAUAUAUUUCUUUGUCAUAUGGUAAGGUUGGGUUGAGGGAGUGAUACCAAAGCUCACUUGAUGUGGAAAUGGGUACAGAGUUUCAUGGAGUUCCACAAGCCUGAAAGGAGUGUUCAGCAACACAUCAGUUAAAAAAGGAGACUCUAAGGUUGCUAGCAGCUCUAGAAAAAAGGUGAGGUGAUGUACAUGGAAACCACUGGUCCAGAGACCUGGUCUCUUUAAUAGCAUUUGUGACUUUUUGUAGUUUAAGCCGCCAAAUUCAUUCUCUCCACCUACUCUGACCAUUUAAUGUCUGGCAAAGAGGAAAGUAAAGAGUGAAGAUGGCAUUCACUGGUUCAUAAAUCAAAAGGCUGACAUGUGGAGUCUGUAUGAGACAAACUAAUCUUCCAAAUUCUCAAAACAGAAGGAAUGGGCAUAUGCUCCAAGGAGUGGAAAUGUUAAAUUUGGUGAAUGUGUUUUGGAAAACAAUACCCAAAUCAAGAUGAAUACUUCUUCAAAGAACUUCAGAGAACUUUUCCUGGAACUUUUGCUUCUUCAUCUUUCACUGUAUGAAGCAACACUCAGCAAGUACUUUGUCACAUUUUUAAGAAAAUUAGUUAAGACUGGAUCACAGACUUGAUGCAAAAACAUUAACUAACAGAGUAAUACAAGAACAAUAAAAAAUGCAUAUUACAGAGGGGUAGUGGAGAGGAAUAUUUUCCACUUACCCCAGACAUUUAGGGCAUUAGUCAUCUUGAUUACACUUGCAUGGAAAUAUUGAGCACAAAGACAAUGAGGAGUUCUAGUAAAAAUUACAUGAUAAUAGAAGGUGAGAAGGGUUCGAUAAAUGACAAAAAUAUCCUAAGUGAAAGCCCUACGGAAAGUUCUUAACACAGAUAGGUGAAUUCCAAAAGAAGGUAACACUUGUCUUCUACAGAAGAUCAUUUCCAGAAAUGACACAGAGAUCAUGAGUGUGGUGACUUUCAACUUUUCCCUCUCUAUCUCAUUCUUAUCUGAGAGUCCUGAGAUGUGUAGGAGACUGGGCUCUUGGGUAUUGUAUAAAAUUGAAAUAAAAUCCUUUAACUUUUAGCUAAGGAAAUAA